rnacentral:rRNA from 1 species
UACGUAGGGUGCAAGCGUUGUCCGGAAUUAUUGGGCGUAUAGAGCUCGUAGGCGGUCUGUCGCGUCGGCUGUGAAAUCCCGAGGCUCAACCUCGGGUCUGCAGUCGAUACGGGCAAACUAGAGUAUUGCAGGGGAGACUGGAAUUCCUGGUGUAGCGGUGAAAUGCGCAGAUAUCAGGAGGAACACCGGUGGCGAAGGCGGGUCUCUGGGCAAUAACUGACGCUGAGGAGCGAAAGCGUGGGGAGCGAACAGG